CUGGCACACAGCUGGAGGGAGCCUCCUGCCAGAGGAGCAGAGGCGGCUCACCCAACAAGGAGGGGCAAGGAGGGGCUUCAGUACUCGAAGCAGAUGCAGGGAUGAGCUGGCUCUGUGUCCACGGCUUCUGUUCUCUCAGCCAAAUAAGAAACCAGAUCAUCAGCUGGGAGUGGGGAUAAGGAGGGACUCUGUCAUUGAAAGGGGGGAACGGCAUGAGGCGGAGGUCCCAGAAGUGCCCAGUUGAAAGCCUUGGGUGUAACUUGGAGCAGAGCUGUCUCCCAGGCAGAUGAGGGGCCAGGGCAGGGAAAGCUUGGAGCUAAGCUGAGCUCUGGGUUUUUCCAGGAGCCUUGAGGGUGUGUGCAAAGGCAUGCUGAGAGUGCGGCGCCUUGCACUCUACGCCGUGUGGGUGUGGGGGUGUCAGUGUGCAGGAGUCAGGAGGAGCAGGGGCAGUAAGUAGGCUGCCGGGGUGGGCCAUGGGGGCCAGGAAUGGACAAUGAUGAAAUCACUGGUGAUGGCAAGUCUAAGGAGUCACCGUGCAAAGCAAGGACUGGCAGGAGGUGGGUGGAAACGCCUGUAAGUGCAGAAUCGUCCGUGUGUGGAGAGGUCUUGCAGUUGCCAGGAAUGAUGCCAGGAGAAGAGGUGAAGAAGCUGACCAUGGGAAUCUACGGUGACUGCAAGGGGAGCCAGGCCUUCGGUGGCAAAAUACAUGGAAGACAUUGACUCUUUCAAUAAGAUGGACUGCCCACUAUGUGCCAGGCACUGAACACGCAAAGACGAACCAGUCUCAACCCCUGCGGAUGAGGAGCUCAGCCUAAUGGGAAAGGCAGAAGAGCCUGAGAUCACACGGCUGGGGAACCGUGGGGCAGGAUGGAGUGUGGGUCCUUCGUCUCUUGGCUUCCUGGGUGUCGGAGCUGGGUGUAAAUCCAAGCACCCACCCUGCAGCCUGUGCUCAGCCCACCGUGCUCCAGGCUGCUCAGGCUUUGUGCACGGAGUAGAGUCAGAGGCAACGGAAGAGGAGGUGGCAGCCAGCACUCUUGGGCCCGGGACCCUUGCUUGAGACUUGACAUGAAAUGGAAGAGAGUGCGAGAACUGGAAGGAGAUCACAGUAGCUCUGGCUUUCAGACACAAGUGUCUAUUUCCUCAGUCAAGGAGAAGCCUUCCUCACACCAUGAGAGGUGUGGACCUUGUAUCUCUUACAACAACCAAGGCUGGACACCACCUCCUAAUGUCGUUGGAAAAGCCAGUGCUCCACCUUAUGACCCAAACUGACUGAGAGAAUGUUUGCCAGGCCCCUGGCUGUCUACGAGGAAUGGGAGGCAUUAAUGGAUUAACUGAAUCCUGGCUCCUACAUGUUAGCCUGAGGUCAAGAGUUAAAACAACAUUGAAAUAUCUUCCUAAUCACAAAGAAAUUCCAAAUCAAGUCAUUUCAUUUGCACAGAAGUCUUGUAAAUGUGAUCUUUGCAGAGGGAAAGCACUCCAUGGAAUGAAGGGGAAGAAGGAGCAAGGGUACGGGUCCCAGUGGUCCCAGCCUGGACUCUUCCUAGCUGUUGAGCACAGCUGAAAGAACAGAGCAACACUCGAGGCCAAGGUGGAAAGAGCUUCCUUUCCUUGUAGGCCACUGACCUUACACUGGAACGAGCACCACCAGCAAACACCUGUGAUGCCAAUCGUCUUGCAGGUAGGAGAGAUCCAUCCAGGAGUGGGAUGGACUCGACAUAAGCUGCAGGUGUGAUUCCUAAAGGACGUGCUACUCAAACACCAUGGAGGCUCGGCAGCAAAAAGCUGGUGGCGGGGUUGCAAAUUGCCAAGCACACCUGACACUCAUGGCCCUACACGCUCAUUCAACUGUUAAGAUACGGAAUAGAAAUCUACCCCCUGGGCAACCCAAGUGUUCAUUAACAGAUACAAACAAACUGUGGUCCAUCCACACAACAGAAUAUGAUUCAGCCUUUAAAAGGAAGGAAACGCUGACAUGGGUUACCACUGGAUAAACCUUGAAGACAUAGUGCUCAGUGAAAUAAGCCAGUCACAAAAGGAUGAGCGCUGUGUGAUUCCUCUUAUAGGAAGCACUAAAGUAGGCAAAUCCAUAGAGACAGAAAGUACAGUGGAGGCUGCCAGGGUCACGAGAGGAGGAGUUAUUGUUCAAUGGGUAGAG
rnacentral:lncRNA from 1 species